UACGUAGGUGGCAAGCGUUGUCCGGAUUUACUGGGCGUAAAGAGCGCGCAGGCGGUCGUUCAAGUCGCGUGUGAAAGCCCCCGGCUCAACUGGGGAGGGUCACGCGAUACUGAUCGACUCGAAGGCAGGAGAGGGAAGUGGAAUUCCCGGUGUAGUGGUGAAAUGCGCAGAUAUCAGGAGGAACACCAGCGGCGAAGGCGGUGCUCUGGGCCGGAACUGACACUGAGGAGCGAAAGCGUGGGUAGCAAACAGG
rnacentral:rRNA from 1 species